UUCGUACUCCCUCCGUUUGGAAUUACUUGUCUCGAAAAUAGAUGUAUCUUGAACUAAAAUACGUCUAGAUACAUUCAUUUCUGCGACAAGUAAUUCCGAACGAAGGGAGUAGCUG
rfam:Triticum aestivum genome assembly, contig: Triticum_aestivum_CS42_TGACv1_scaffold_641834_T_1BL-0.193685_7BS-0.167671